rnacentral:rRNA from 1 species
GACGAACGCUGGCGGCGUGCUUAACACAUGCAAGUCGAACGGAAAGGCCCUGAUAUUGUGGUGUGCUCGAGUGGCGAACGGGUGAGUAACACGUGAGUACCCUGCCCUUGACUAUGGGAUCACUUCAGGAAACUGGAGAUAAUACCGGAUAGGAGCCCCUGCUGCAUAGUGGGGGUUGGAAAGGUUCGACGGUUGGUGAUGGACUCGCGGGUUAUCAGCUUGUUGGUGGGGUGGUGGCUUACCAAGGCGUUGACGGGUAGAGGGCCGUGGAGGGUGACAGGCCGCAAUGCGACUGCGAUACGGCCCAGACUCCUACGGGAGGCAGCAGUGGGGAAUAUUGCACAACAGGGGGAAGCCGGAUGCAGCAACGCCGCGUGCGGGAUGACGGCCGUCGGGUUGUAAACCGCUUUCGCCUGUGACGAAGCGGGAGUGACGGUAACUGGUAAAGAAGCACCGGCUAACUACGUG